rnacentral:rRNA from 1 species
CCUACGGGUGGCUGCAGUCGAGAAUCAUUCACAAUGGGGGCAACUCUGAUGGUGCGACGCCGCGUGGGGGAAUGAAGGUCUUUGGAUUGUAAACCCCUGUCAUGUGGGAGCAAAUUCAAAAGAUAGUACCACAAGAGGAAGAGACGGCUAACUCUGUGCCAGCAGCCGCGGUAAUACAGAGGUCUCAAGCGUUGUUCGGAAUCACUGGGCGUAAAGCGUGCGUAGGCUGUUUCGUAAGUCGUGUGUGAAAGGCGCGGGCGCAACCCGCGGACGGCACAUGAUACUGCGAGCCUAGAGUGAUGGAGCGGGAAGCGGAAUGCUCGGUGUAGCAGUGAAAUGCGUAGAGAUC